AAUCUAAAGAACAAACAAACACAAAGUUACUCGAACUUUAUAAAGAAGAAAACGCUUUCUUUUAAUUUCAAUGAUCAAGGGUGCUUUACAAUGAAUCACGAGCUGAGCUUUUAUAGGCUCAAUAUACAACGUUCCUAGAGUCUAAAACAAGAAAACAAAUCGCAAAAAUAUAAAGAAUAUAGCCGUUGGAGCUUUGAUGACAAAAUCGGCCAAAAUAAGGAAAGUGUCUUCUCUUGUAUCUUGAA
rnacentral:lncRNA from 1 species